GCCGGCGAGCAUACCACGUUGAAAGCACCGGUUCUCGUCUGAUCACCGCAGUCAAGCAACAUUGGGCCCGGUC
rnacentral:rRNA from 1 species